CCGAUAUAUUAUGCAUCGUUCCUUGAAUCGAACUGCGAGGCGACUCGAACCUCUCGCCGUUCCCCACUCCCGUCAUCCCCUUCCCGACUCGAGUCACCCAAGGCAGUUGAGCUGGUCUUCGCCUCCGGCCGCAACUCCUCCUCGUCGGCAACAACCGCUUGAUGAUCUGAACUCCUCAGUCCUCCCUCGCAGCACUCCCCGGCAUUACGACGACUACCUGAACCUCCUCAGGUCCUUCGUCUCCCGGAAGGCGUUAGAGCCCGGGAAGCAGCUCCACGCCCGCCUCCUCCUCUCCGGCCUCGGCUACAACACCAUCUUGGCCACCAAGCUCGUCGAUCUGUACUGCCUGUGCGACCAUGUGACUUAUGCGCACAAGCUGUUUGACAGAAUUACUAAGAGAAACUUGUUUCUGUGGAACGUCCUCAUCCGAGCUUACGCUUGGACUGGGCCCCACGAGGUCGCCCUCUCGUUGUAUUACCAGAUGCUCGACUGCGGCGUCGCGCCUGAUAACUUCACGUUCCCGUUCGUCCUCAAGGCCUGCUCCGCCCUCUCCGCGCUCGAGGCCGGGCGGGGGAUCCACGAGCUGGUGGUAAGCACCGGCUGGGAAACGGACGUGUUCGUGGGUGCCGCCCUGAUCGACAUGUACGCCAAGUGCGGGUGCGUCGACCAUGCUCGAGAAUUGUUCGACAGGAUUCCGAACCGAGAUGUCGUGCUUUGGAACUCCAUGAUCGCCGCCUACGCUCAGAACGGGCAUCCGUCGGAGGCGCUCCUUCUGUGCCGUGAUAUGGUGGCGCGUGGGUUCACGCCGACUCUCGCUACUCUUGUGACCGUGAUCUCCGCUUCGGCCGAUGCGGCGGCUCUGCCGAGAGGGCGGGAGAUUCACGGAUUGAGUUGGAGGCGCGGGUUUGAUUCCCAAGACAAGGUGAAGACCGCGCUCGUGGAUAUGUACGCCAAGAGCGGCUGGGUGAAGGUUGCUCGUGUGCUCUUCGAGCAGCUCGCAGAGAAAAGGAUUGUUUCCUGGAACUCCAUGAUCUGCGGGUACGGCAUGCACGGCCAUGCGGACGAAGCCCUUGCCCUGUUCGACAGAAUGAGGGAUGAGGAUCAAGUGCUUCCUGAUCACAUUACUUUCGUCGGCCUCCUCUCCGCUUGCAACCAUGGAGGUCUGGUAGAUGAAGGGAGGAGCUUCUUCAACUCGAUGUUGAGCGAUUACCGCAUUCCACCGGCGGUGCAGCAUUACACUUGCAUGAUAGAUCUCCUUGGCCACUCCGGCAGACUAGCCGAAGCAUACAAGCUCAUCCAAGACAUGACAAUGGCCGCCGACUCUGGAGUAUGGGGUGCUUUGCUGAACGCCUGCAAGAUCCACCGGAAUGUGGAAUUAGGGGAGCUGGCACUGCAAAAGCUGAUCGAACUGGAGCCCGACGACGCAGGGAACUACGUUCUUCUAUCGAACAUAUACGCACAAGCCGGGAAGUGGCAGGAAGCCGCCGAGGUGAGGAAGCUGAUGACCGACAGAGGCCUGAAGAAGAGCAUUGCCUGUAGCUGGAUCGAAGUGAAGAACCAGGUCCACGCGUUCCUCGUCGGCGAUCUGUCGCAUCCCAGCUCGGGGGCGAUAUACGCAGAGCUGGAAAGGUUGGAAGGGCUCAUGGCGGAGGCUGGAUACGAGCCGGACACGAUGCCCGUCUUCCACGACGUGGGCGACGACGAGAAGAGGAACAUGGUUCGCAGCCAUAGCGAGAGGCUGGCCAUCGCAUUUGGACUCAUCAGCACGCCGCCGGGGACGACGCUGUUGGUGACGAAGAACCUGAGAGUCUGCGAGGACUGUCACACGGCCAUCAAGUUCAUUUCGGCGAUUGUUGGCAGAGAAAUCAUAGUAAGAGAUGUGAAUCGAUACCACCAUUUCAAGGACGGCGAGUGUUCCUGUCGAGAUUAUUGGUAGCCUGCGAACCCAACAAUUGCUGCUGUAUUUUGCCUAUGUGAGUUGGACACCGCUAUUUAUAAUUUACGUGUACUGAUCAUUCUUUGAUGCUUGUGGUAAGAGACACGUGAGGCUCACGUGAUAUUCCGUGAUUUGAUUUAAAUUGGGCUCAUUGGAGGCUCAGUUUGUCUUGAUGGACCUACAAAUUGCGAUUCUCUCACUCCUCCGGGCGCGUCAUCCGUUCCGCGAUGGCCGCCCUUUUCUUCGCCGCCCGUCUCCUCCUCCUCCCUGCUUCUUCCUUCGGGGUUCCCAUCGCUCCCUCUCUCUCCUCUCUUUCAUUUCAUCUCCAUGUUUUCUUUUAUUAACUUGACUUCCUUUCAAGGUUCCCAUCUUACUCUGCGCCAAAGGCAGGCGCAACGAGCUCUCCUGCUCUGCAAAGCCGCCGCCGCAUCUGCUACCUCCCUUCCUGCGACUUCGGGCUCAAUGAUCAUAGUAUCGACGCGGAUAAGGCCUACAGGGGAAGAAGUGGAGGUCCGGGCCCAGCGUUAGGCGCAUCCCCAAACAUCUCAGCAUUGCUGGAGGAGGUAUACCAAAAGACAUGAUUGGAACUCUGCAUCUCGUGGGAGAAAUUCUUUUACAAAGAGGCUUUUGAGCAUUCAAAGCUCCAUUGCAGCUUGAUUACUACACGUAUCAUGAAGGCUACUGGUAACUGUUAGGACAUAAGACCAUGAGAAAUAACUACUGUUGGUGGUACCAAGCUCAGGUUCUUUAUCAGAUUAACCAUCAGGACACAGAUGGGGACAGCUGCAGCAAAGCUGAAUCUACGUUACGGUCCAGCAGAGUUCCAAGACUUGUCGGGUCAUCCUCCUCUUCUAGUUUCCCUCUCUCACUAUCUCCUCUUAUCUACAUUUAUUGUUCUUUUAUUUUUUUUAAUCUCAAUGUGCAGUAUAAUUUAGUCAUGCCUAUCUCUGAAAAUUUCCAACUCCAGCAGUUAAAACUCCCAGAGAUUGGAGCAUCCGUAAAUGUUCUUGGUAUGAACUAGAUGUUCAAUGGUCGGAUUUAUUUAAAUCAGAUACAAGCUGUGGGCAAGAGGGAACUUUCCUUUAUAAAUAUUUUAAUAAGCAUAUGUAAAGUUCGAUAUGCAGUGGUUGCCACAAGUGAUAUGACCACUCAAUUUCUAAAUAUUUAGUUGUGUUAAAAGUGAUGCAUGUCCCGUUACAACUGAGCUAAUUGUUUAGUUAGAUUAAGAUAGUCUGAGAAAGAAAGUUUUCUUCUGAUGAUGUGAAUAUUUGCAUGGAAAAAAAAAAGCCUUUCAAGUAUUUUUCA